AUCAACUUUCGAUGGUAGGAUAGAGGCCUACCAUGGUUUUAACGGGUAACGGGGAAUUAGGGUUCGAUUCCGGAGAGGGAGCCUGAGAAACGGCUACCACAUCCAAGGAAGGCAGCAGGCGCGCAAGUUACCCAAUCCCGACACGGGGAGGUAGUGACAAUAAAUAACAAUACGGGGCUCAUUUGGGUCUCGUAACUGGAAUGAGUACAAUUUAAAUCUCUUAACGAGGAACAAUUGGAGGGCAAGUCUGGUGCCAGCAGCCGCGGUAAUUCCAGCUCCAAUAGCGUAUGUUAAAGUUGUUGCAGUUAAAAAGCUCGUAGUUGAACUUCGGGGUUUACUCAUUGGCCAGGCUUAAUUGUCUGCACUGGUGAGAUGAAUCUCUACCUUCUGAGGAACUUUCAUGCCAUUUAUUUGGUGUGAUUGGAAAUCAGGACUGUUACUUUGAAAAAAUUAGAGUGUUUAAAGCAGGCUAACGUCUGAAUACAUUAGCAUGGAAUAAUGAAAUAGGACGGACUGAUUCUAUUUCGUUGGUUUCUAGGAUCACCGUAAUGAUUAAUAGGGAUAGUUGGGGGCAUUAGUAUUCAAUUGUCAGAGGUGAAAUUCUUGGAUUUAUUGAAGACUAACUACUGCGAGAGCAUUUGCCAAGGAUGUUUUCAUUAAUCAAGAACGAAAGUUAGGGGAUCGAGGACGAUCAGAUACCGUCGUAGUCUUAACCAUAAACUAUGCCGACUAGGGAUCGGAUGAUGUUAAUUUUUUUAAUGACUCAUUCGGCGCCUUACGGGAAACCAAAGUGUUUGGGUUC
rnacentral:rRNA from 1 species